CUGAGGCGCCGGAGGUGUGCUGACAGCGUGGGGAAGGUGGGCGUGGAGUAAUGAAUGCCUGGAAAAAUUCACAGCACCGGAGAUCUGAAGAAAUGAGAUGAGAUGGACAAGAGACACGAAAGAAGUGUUCAUUAACCUUUCCCCUCCAUAACAGAGUUGGAGAUCAUUAACUUGCAGCUUUGGUGAUAUUCACAUGGCUUCAUCUAUACACAGGCCCGGAUCGACAUUUGCAUACCAGAUGGCAGCUGCAGAGGAGUUCCAAGUUCUAGCAGUGAUGGCUGGGAAGAUAAGUGCCUCUGGAGAAGGGAAAGCCAGAUUGCAGAUUCCUUGCAGUUGCACCUGAUGACUUAUUGCCAGUCACUAAUUGGUUUGCCCAUACACAGGAAAUUCAGAAUCCAGCAGCAGUGCCUGACUUUGUCUGGAGCUCUGUUCUUCCUGCAGAGAUCACUGCUGAAAUAAACCCUUGCAGAGAAAAAUGCUUUUAUAUGAAGCUCUGGGAAAGCAGACCUAAGUGUGUUGUGGGGGUUUUUUUUGUUGUUUUUGUUUUUACUUUUUGUAACUGCUGUGUCAAGAUUUUUUCCUUCAGGAGAGCCACAAAAUCUUGUGUAACUGUCAUUAUUAUUUAUUAUUGCAAAAUAAUACAGCUGGCUGUGAUGUGCUAACAGUUGACAAUAUAUGCAUUUUAAAACAGAGACAGAAAUGAUAAGGAGAGAUUGGUCUAUUUUUCAUUAAAGAUAAGAAUGUUUUCAUAAAAAUCUCCCUUUCCCACAUAUUUCUGAGUGGAUUUUCAUUUUGGUCCUGGAUGGGACUUUGACUUAUUUAUACAGCAUCCAGAGAAGUAAGAGAGCCAGCUAUGAAAAACACAGAAUAACUCAGGAACAAGAAACCACUGGUUAUUUGUACCACUCUGAGGCCAUGAACAGCUGAAGUGUCUCUGGAGCUGUAGAGCAGUGUUGGUGAUUGCCAUUGUUGUUGAUGAAAGACAAAAUCUGCAUGCAAUGGUACAGCCUACAGCAAAGCUUGUAAUAAGCCUUUUAAAAGGUGAAGUAUCCACUUCAGAAGCAGCAUCCCUCAUGCAGUGAAAUGUCAGUAAUUUUCCUGCUAAUGCAGAACCAGCAUUAUCUCCUGACCUUGUCAGUGGAAAGCAUUUCCACUAGAUGUGUUUUCCUGAACGCAGUGACAACAUAACGGUUAUGUAGGAACAGAAAAAUAAACAGCUGUCUGUGUUAUAAAUGAUUAUUAGUUGUCCUGAAGAAAAAACCAAGGAAAAACAGGCUCUGUAAUUAAGAUCUUCAGUGUCCACUGUCUUUGUUGCCCAUGUGUCUGUGAACACAAUCCCCACAAAACCAGAAGUGGAGCUGUGAGAGUGCAGCAUGUCAGGGCUGGAACACCACACAAGUGGGUAAAGAGCACGUCUUGUUAAAUAAACAUGAAGUAAAUAAAUCAGUGGUACUUACCAAAGGUAUUCUCAACAAAGAAGAGUGUGAAAGAGUGGAAAUAUUCCCAAGUACAGCAGAACCACAUUAAACAUGUGGACAGAUUAAACUGGGGAGAUUCCCAACACUUCAACUGGACUGUGAAUUGAGUUCAUGUACUGUAAGUUAUUGUUAGCUUGAAAAAAUCACUACAUUGACUUUGCCUGUUGAGGGCCCUAACAGUAAAAGAUAAAUAAAAUCACAGCAUCCAAUCACAAAUGAAGCUGUUUAACACUUGGAUAGCUGUGUAGUCAAACCUAUAGUCCACAGGGAAAUGAAAUUUAGACAUCUCAAAUGUGUUACAAAGCAAUAAAUGUAGAUUCCUAAAAAUCCUA